ensembl:lincRNA
CUUUUCCUCCAGUCUCUGGCUCAUAAACUGUCCUUUUUUACAGGGAGAAGAGAAACGCUGUUCAAUCCUUACUCUUUCCUGUGGACCGGAAUAUAUUUUUAAUUACUGAUAACAGAUUUCUUUUGUUUUUACAACGAGCAUUGUGCACACCCCUAACUUCUAAAAGAUCGCUAACAAGCAUGAGGAGAACAUCUCUCAAGUUUCAGUUGGAACUGGAGGAUGUCAGGAAAUUUUAACUUUCCUGUUGUCUAAGACUUCUCAUUACUGGGACAAAAUAUUCAACACCCACAACUUAAAGGAAGAGAUGUUUGUUUUGGCCCACGGUUUCAGAGGUUUCAGUCCAUGGUCUGGCUCGAGACGGAAACAGCUUGGUGGAAGGACACAGCACAGGAGAGCUACUCGCCCCGUGGCAGCGAGGAAGCAGAGAGAAGAGAGAACCCAGGGACAAGAACACAGCCUUCCAGGUCAAACCCCAGUGACCUCCUCCAAUCUCUUACAGCAUGUCAGCUGUGAACUCAUCAGGGAUUUACCCACUGAUGACCAUAGCACCCCGGGAUCCAGUCACCUUCCAGAGCCCCACCUCUGAGCUCAUGAGACCUUUGGGGGGCACUCUAGAUCGGACCCCUAAAGCCUGUCCUGUGGGAGUCCUGGUCGCUCCUUCAUUUUAGGACAGUUAUUGUGCAGCUGGUUUCAGCAUAUAGAAGGCCCCUUGCAGACCUCAGAGAAAGAUUCUACUGCCUAAGUGCUGGGGAGGCCCAGUGCUACUCCACCCUGGCUGGGCCCUGGAAGUAGGGCAGUCCCUCUAUCCCCACUGGGAAGAGGCGGCCAUGUGGGCAGGCAUGGGGACGAAGAGAGACAGAAUCGGUGGCUUGCGGCUCCAUGCCUUCCUCCAUGAGCUGUAUGAACACACCGAGCCUUGUGCACACAGGCUGGGUCCUCCCUGAGGGCAGGCAGGGAUGGACACAUGAGCUCAGCUUCAGCAACUCCAGGGAAGUGUGGACCUUUGCCUUGGGGACGCGGCACCCACCACAUCCUCCAAGCCGGGGGGCAUUGUGCCCCCAUCCCCAGCACCUCCUCUGUCUGGCCCACACCCGGCCAGCCCUGGGCACAAGUUACUUGCCCCAUGCCUGUGCCAUCCCGUGUCAUGAAAGGAACGACAGGGCCAUUGGUGAUAGGGUGCCAGGGCCACCCUCUUCUGCAAGCAUGGAGAAGGCAGGACAGCAGGGUGCCAGGGGUGAGGAGAGUGGCAUGCACCUCUGUCUCCUAUUUGAGGGCUCUCGUCUGCCUGCUGCUCCCCUGAGCAGUACACAGCUGUCCUUAUCAAACUCACAGCUCACACUCAGGCGUGAGCUCACGUCUGUCCCCCCAGCAGUCAGUCCAGUUAGGCUGUGUAGGGCAAGAACUUUCGGGUGCUACAGGUCCGCACACUUUCCAGAGUCCAGGGCUAGACAAGAAAAGAAGACAAGGCUUCAGGAGCUAAGAAAAGCCAAAGGUGCUUCACAGAAGCUCAGUUCUGACUGGCGUCACAAUGCGUGCAGGGAGCAGGCACCCUUGGGCACCUCUCUGGCUCAGGCCAGGCUCUCGUGGGUCCUGGUCCCCCGCCCAACCUACUGCACCUGGCACAAUGACAGCUUCCAGAAUUGGACUGUUCAGAUGGUGUCGACAGUGGGGGCGGACACUCUGGCAGGCCGCGCAUCUAAGCAGAUCUGUUCGGGGGAAAGAGACCCAUUUCACAGCUGACAAGAUUGAAGGGCGAGAAGGAGGGGCACAGGCGGCGCCUGAAAGCCAGCCAGUGAACACGAGGGUCAGCAUCAGCCAAGACUCAGAGGACAAAGUUCUGGGGAGGUGAAGCGGGCUGCUCCCUCGGCAUGGCCUCCAGCGGGCGUGGAUUCCCCUCGGGUCACAGCCCCAGACACGGGCCCUCAGCCCACAGCACCGGAAGAGCACGGAGCUGAGAAGCUGCUGUCACCCGGCGGUCCUCCUCCCUAGAGGCCUCCAGACCCGAUUGCUGCACUCAGCUUGCAAGUCCCGUUCCAUCCCAAGACGGCUCCACCCAGCAGCCAGAGGGCUCAGCCGUGAGAUUCCCGCAGAGCGCACAGCCCCAGCAUCUACACCAGGAAACCCUCGAGUCCAGGGCUCCCCGUGCCUCCUUCCUCCUGGGCCCCAUGAGGGUGGACAGCCACGAAGAAGAAGCCGGCCCAGCACCACACCCCAAGAGUGUCAGCACAGGGCAGCUGGGAUGAGCGUCCCUGAGCAGGACCGGAGCAAAAGUGGGUGCGGCACCAAUGAGGCCAGCGCGCUUUCCAGCACAGUGUGCAAGAGGCAAAUAGCGCGAAUUUCUCACGGAAAAUGGCAUUUCUUUUAUUUAUUUUUAUGUAUUUUUGAGUGUUAACAAAUAGUUCUAGUGAUAAUUAGCAUCUUUGUAUAUUUAUUGAAAACCA